AAAAAGGCUUUGACAGGGAACAAAACACAGUUUGCGCGCCACAGAGAGCCGCCGGUUGGUGUAAGGCGGUGCCGCUUUUGUGAAUAACUCACCCUUGAGCCGCCGGGCGAACGCGCUUUGCAAGUAGCUUUCGGACGGGAUCCCGCCGUUAAAAGGGGAACGCAUUGUUCGAUGCGGCUGAGCGGGCUGUUAAUCAGUCAAUCAAGAGUGGUACCACGGAAGUUGUCAGACCUUCGUCUCUUUA
rnacentral:ncRNA from 1 species